GACGAACGCUGGCGGCGUGCUUAACACAUGCAAGUCGAACGGAAAGGCCCUGCUUUUGUGGGGUGCUCGAGUGGCGAACGGGUGAGUAACACGUGAGUAACCUGCCCUUGACUUUGGGAUAACUUCAGGAAACUGGGGCUAAUACCGGCUAGGAGCUCCUGCUGCAUGGUGGGGGUUGGAAAGUUUCGGCGGUUGGGGAUGGACUCGCGGCUUAUCAGCUUGUUGGUGGGGUAGUGGCUUACCAAGGCUUUGACGGGUAGCCGGCCUGAGAGGGUGACCGGCCACAUUGGGACUGAGAUACGGCCCAGACUCCUACGGGAGGAAGCAGUGGGGAAUAUUGCACAAUGGGCGGAAGCCUGAUGCAGCAACGCCGCGUGCGGGAUGACGGCCUUCGGGGUGUAAACCGCUUUCGCCUGUGACGAAGCGUGAGUGACGGUAAUGGGUAAAGAAGCACCGGCUAACUACGUG
rnacentral:rRNA from 1 species